rnacentral:lncRNA from 1 species
CUUGUCUGAAACUAUUUUGGUUGGCGAAGCAUCAGUAGACAACUAACUGAAAAUGUUUCGUCUAAAAUCAAAUGUGAGGACAGAUGAGCAGCAGCGAGAAGCUCUAGGGGUUGACGGUGACAUCGGCAGUGUUCAGGUAAUACAAGCACCGAACAAACAUGUAUUCCAUGAUCUGCCGAACACAGCAACAGAAAGUGUCACUUUUAGAACCCCACCAUUCGACGACAAAGGAAAUUGUCAGGUAUGUA